AUAAAAUGUAUGUGCAAAGAGCACAUCGAAUCAUCAAAGAGCAGAGUGAGGCAGUGUCGCGGAGCUUGGACAUCAAGGACUAUGACUACCCAGGGUUUGAUGUAGUCGAGGACACUGACAUCCCAGGACAUCCUGAUGCCUUACAGCAUUUGGACAGCGUCUCAGAGGCCCAAGGCUUUAAUGUACG